ACACGACUACAUUAGACUACCCCUGUAGUCCCAGCCCUAAACGAUGCGCGUUAGGUGUAUCGGUGACCACGAGUCACCGAGGUGCCGAAGGGAAACCGUGAAACGUGCCGCCGUGGGAAGUACGGUCGCAAGGCUAGAAACUUAAAGGAAUUGGCGGGGGAGCACCACAACGGGUGGAGCCUGCGGUUUAAUUGGACUCAACGCCGGGAAGCUCACCGGAUAAGACAGCGGAAUGAUUGCCGGGCUGAAGACCCUGCAUGACCAGCUG
rnacentral:rRNA from 1 species